UCUCAAAAAGGUAAGCCGGUAAUUUUUCCUUCUCCCAUCCUUGUUUCUUUCUCGCGUAUUUCCACAUCCAUGGAAAAUGUUCCACGUGUUGCAUUUUUUUCUGUCUUCCACAUUUGUUAUUCUAAAAAGGAUUCCUUUAUGUUCCACGGAAAACAACAGACUCGUUUUGUACCCAAAUUUGGAGACGACCGUUUCAUUCCAAUUCCUCAAAGAUCCGCUCCGCUCUAACAAAAAGAUCUAUCAAAAAAUUCUUACUGUGGAGCAUCUUAUGUCUUCAUUUGCUUGGUUUAUGUGUUGUUCAAUGUUCUAUUUGUUAAUUUGAUUUGUUACCUUUCGUUUAAACUUAAUGUCAAUUUGGUUGGUUUGUUGAAUCCAGAAAGAUCCUUUGAACUUUUA